rnacentral:rRNA from 1 species
UGUAUAAUGGGUCAGCGACUUAUAUUCUGUAGCAAGGUUAACCGAAUAGGGGAGCCGAAGGGAAACCGAGUCUUAACUGGGCGUUAAGUUGCAGGGUAUAGACCCGAAACCCGGUGAUCUAGCCAUGGGCAGGUUGAAGGUUGGGUAACACUAACUGGAGGACCGAACCGACUAAUGUUGAAAAAUUAGCGGAUGACUUGUGGCUGGGGGUGAAAGGCCAAUCAAACCGGGAGAUAGCUGGUUCUCCCCGAAAGCUAUUUAGGUAGCGCCUCGUGAAUUCAUCUCCGGGGGUAGAGCACUGUUUCGGCAAGGGGGUCAUCCCGACUUACCAACCCGAUGCAAACUGCGAAUACCGGAGAAUGUUAUCACGGGAGACACACGGCGGGUGCUAACGUCCGUCGUGAAGAGGGAAACAACCCAGACCGCCAGCUAAGGUCCCAAAGUCAUGGUUAAGUGGGAAACGAUGUGGGAAGGCCCAGACAGCCAGGAUGUUGGCUUAGAAGCAGCCAUCAUUUAAAGAAAGCGUAAUAGCUCACUGGUCGAGUCGGCCUGCGCGGAAGAUGUAACGGGGCUAAACCAUGCACCGAAGCUGCGGCAGCGACACUAUGUGUUGUUGGGUAGGGGAGCGUUCUGUAAGCCGUUGAAGGUGUGCUGUGAGGCAUGCUGGAGGUAUCAGAAGUGCGAAUGCUGACAUAAGUAACGAUAAAGCGGGUGAAAAGCCCGCUCGCCGGAAGACCAAGGGUUCCUGUCCAACGUUAAUCGGGGCAGGGUGAGUCGACCCCUAAGGCGAGGCCGAAAGGCGUAGUCGAUGGGAAACAGGUUAAUAUUCCUGUACUUGGUGUUACUGCGAAGGGGGGACGGAGAAGGCUAUGUUGGCCGGGCGACGGUUGUCCCGGUUUAAGCGUGUAGGCUGAUUUUCCAGGCAAAUCCGGAGAAUCAAGGCUGAGGCGUGAUGACGAGGCACUACGGUGCUGAAGCAACAAAUGCCCUGCUUCCAGGAAAAGCCUCUAAGCAUCAGGUAACAUCAAAUCGUACCCCAAACCGACACAGGUGGUCAGGUAGAGAAUACCAAGGCGCUUGAGAGAACUCGGGUGAAGGAACUAGGCAAAAUGGUGCCGUAACUUCGGGAGAAGGCACGCUGAUAUGUAGGUGAAGCGACUUGCUCGUGGAGCUGAAAUCAGUCGAAGAUACCAGCUGGCUGCAACUGUUUAUUAAAAACACAGCACUGUGCAAACACGAAAGUGGACGUAUACGGUGUGACGCCUGCCCGGUGCCGGAAGGUUAAUUGAUGGGGUCAGCCGCAAGGCGAAGCUCUUGAUCGAAGCCCCGGUAAACGGCGGCCGUAACUAUAACGGUCCUAAGGUAGCGAAAUUCCUUGUCGGGUAAGUUCCGACCUGCACGAAUGGCGUAAUGAUGGCCAGGCUGUCUCCACCCGAGACUCAGUGAAAUUGAACUCGCUGUGAAGAUGCAGUGUACCCGCGGCAAGACGGAAAGACCCCGUGAACCUUUACUAUAGCUUGACACUGAACAUUGAGCCUUGAUGUGUAGGAUAGGUGGGAGGCUUUGAAGUGUGGACGCCAGUCUGCAUGGAGCCGACCUUGAAAUACCACCCUUUAAUGUUUGAUGUUCUAACGUGGACCCGUGAUCCGGGUUGCGGACAGUGUCUGGUGGGUAGUUUGACUGGGGCGGUCUCCUCCUAAAGAGUAACGGAGGAGCACGAAGGUUGGCUAAUCCUGGUCGGACAUCAGGAGGUUAGUGCAAUGGCAUAAGCCAGCUUGACUGCGAGCGUGACGGCGCGAGCAGGUGCGAAAGCAGGUCAUAGUGAUCCGGUGGUUCUGAAUGGAAGGGCCAUCGCUCAACGGAUAAAAGGUACUCCGGGGAUAACAGGCUGAUACCGCCCAAGAGUUCAUAUCGACGGCGGUGUUUGGCACCUCGAUGUCGGCUCAUCACAUCCUGGGGCUGAAGUAGGUCCCAAGGGUAUGGCUGUUCGCCAUUUAAAGUGGUACGCGAGCUGGGUUUAGAACGUCGUGAGACAGUUCGGUCCCUAUCUGCCGUGGGCGCUGGAGAACUGAGGGGGGCUGCUCCUAGUACGAGAGGACCGGAGUGGACGCAUCACUGGUGUUCGGGUUGUCAUGCCAAUGGCACUGCCCGGUAGCUAAAUGCGGAAGAGAUAAGUGCUGAAAGCAUCUAAGCACGAAACUUGCCCCGAGAUGAGUUCUCCCUGAGACUUUAAGUCUCCUGAAGGAACGUUGAAGACGACGACGUUGAUAGGCCGGGUGUGUAAGCGCAGCGAUGCGUUGAGCUAACCGGUACUAAUGAACCGUGAGGCUUAACCUUACAACGCCGAAG